UACGGAGGAUCCGAGCGUUAUCCGGAUUUAUUGGGUUUAAAGGGUGCGUAGGCGGCCCGUUAAGUCAGGGGUGAAAGACGGUAGCUCAACUAUCGCAGUGCCCUUGAUACUGAUGGGCUUGAAUGUACUAGAGGUAGGCGGAAUGUGACAAGUAGCGGUGAAAUGCAUAGAUAUGUCACAGAACACCAAUUGCGAAGGCAGCUUACUAUGGUAUUAUUGACGCUGAGGCACGAAAGCGUGGGGAUCAAACAGG
rnacentral:rRNA from 1 species